CAUAGUAGAUGUACUGGAAGUGUAUCUAGAAUGA
rnacentral:rRNA from 1 species